rnacentral:piRNA from 1 species
UAUUAGGAAUUGUCCAUUGAAUGUUAGC